CCUACGGGGGGCAGCAGUGAGGAAUAUUGGUCAAUGGGCUUACGCCUGAACCAGCCAAGUCGCGUGAGGGAAGACUGCCCUAUGGGUUGUAAACCUCUUUUGUCAGGGAGCAACGCCGGCUACGUGUAGCCGGACUGAGAGUACCUGAAGAAAAAGCAUCGGCUAACUCCGUGCCAGCAGCCGCGGUAAUACGGAGGAUGCGAGCGUUAUCCGGAUUUAUUGGGUUUAAAGGGUGCGUAGGCGGAAUGCCAAGUCAGCGGUAAAAUCGUGGGGCUCAACCUCGCUCCGCCGUUGAAACUGGCGGUCUUGAGUGGGCGAGAAGUAUGCGGAAUGCGUGGUGUAGCGGUGAAAUGCAUAGAUAUCACGAAGAACUCCGAUUGCGAAGGCAGCAUACCGGCGCCCAACUGACGCUGAAGCACGAAAGCGUGGGUAUCGAACAGGAUUAGAUACCCCAGUAGUC
rnacentral:rRNA from 1 species